rnacentral:misc_RNA from 1 species
GUGUCCGCAUGCUCACCAACACUCGAACACAUUCAUACUCUCCUUGCUCGCGAGAAACAAAAGUUUCGUCGUUGUAGAUUUAGUAUUUGGGAGACACCUACUAAACUUUGAGAGCCUGUGUAGGACACACUAAGGCCGGCCGCCAAAUAAAACCACAAAAAAACGUGGCCACUCGCCAGUGCGCGAGUGAUGGUGAUGGACCUUGGAGGAAAUAUUUCAUUUCAUGUUCACAACUUGACUGCUGGCAAUAGCACCGUAGCAGUCGGCACUCUGCAGCACUGCGCUGAGUGUCAGUGAGUGAGCGUGACGGCGUGACCACAGAGUGACAGGCAAUGUUGAAAAAGGAGGGUAGACACAUUUUUCGGCUCGUUAUUUACGUACGUACUUGCUUAUCAAUGGACAGAAUCCAGGCUGCACACCUGCUCACUAUCAAACAAUCUUGUGUCCCACUUCCCUAAGUGUCUUGCGGUAGUGUGUGCUGUGUGGUGGAGGUUGUGAUCCCUGGCUGCAUCAUGGAUGGCUGGCAGCAGAAGCAGCAACAGUCAGCCUUAGGUACCAUACCAUGGAACACAGUGGUGUUGAGAAUUAUGAGUCUGAUGACUGUGGGAAAAAAUUUACUUACCAGAAUUCCCUCACCACACACAUCCUGACACACAGUGAUGUUAAGAGUUAUUUGUGUGAUAAGUGUGGAAAGAAAUUUAACCACAUAUCUUCUCUCAACAAGCACACCCUGGUACACAGUGGUGUUAAGAAUCAUUUAUGUGAUAAGUGUGGGAUGAAAUUUUCCUGCAAAUCUUACCUAACCGCACACAUCCUGACACACAAUGUUGUUAAGAAUUAUGAGUGUGUUGACUGUGGGAAAAAAUUUGCCAGAAAGUCUAACCUCACCCGACACAUCCUGACACACGUUGGUGUUAGGAAUUUUGAGUGUGAUGAGUGUGGGAAUAAAUUUCUCAGAAAGUGUCAGCUCACCAAACACAUCCAGUCACACAGUGAUAAUGGUGUUAAGAAAUAUAAGUGUGAUGAAUGUGGAAAGAAAUUUGCCCACAAGUCUUACCUCACCCACAUGCCCUGAUACACAGUGGUGUUCAGAAUUAUAAGUGUAAUGAGUGUGGGAGGAAAUUUACUUUCAAGUCUUCCCUCAAUACACACUCCCUGAUACAUCGUGGUGUUAAGAAAUAUAAGUGUGGGGAGUGUGGGAAAAAAUUUACUCACAAAUGUUCCCUCAUAAAACACACCCUGACACACAGUGGUGUUAGGAAUCAUGAGUGUGAUAAGUGUGGGGAGAAAUUUAUCACAAAGUAUAACCUGACCAGGCACAUACUGACACACAGUGUUAAGAAAUUUGAGUGCGAGUGUGGAAGGAAAUUCACUCACAAGGCUUACCUUACUGCACACAUCUUUACACACAGUGGUGUUAAGAAUUAUAAGUGUAAGGAGUGUGGGAAGAAAUUUACUUACAAGUCUUCCCUUAACUCACACAACUUGACACACCAUGAUGUUGGGAAUUAUGAGUGUGGUGAGUGUAACAAAAAAUUUCCCACCAUGUCUUGUCUUCAUGGACAUGCCUUGAGACACACUAGGGUGAGGGGGUUCAAGUGUGAUGAUUGUGGCAAGUGUUUCAAGACAAAGACUGACAUCGACCAGCACAAGAACGUCCACGUUUAAGGUGGUGUGAGGAAUCCGACAACAUUUCACUUAACUCACACACCACAUUCUCCCAUGGAACAGUUUCAUGGCCUCAAGUCAUUCUUUCGUUCAUUUCUCUACACAGUCCCAGCAGCAACACCAUCCAUUCCCUGCACGUCUUCACUCUGAUAUUCCACAUUCCACACCCCCUCAUCCUUAACUCCCUCAGACCUUACUACUGUAACACACAGACCAUCCAUUCUUGUAACUCCUUGCAUUCAUACCCUAAAUCUCUCUCUGGGAAAUAGUGCCAUACUUGUUUGCUAUUUUUUUUUUAAGGGUGUUUGUGCAAGAUGGAAAACAAGAAAUUGUAGAAAGAUGAAGGGGAAAAAAAAUACAUACGUAUGAAAAGGAGUGAAGAAAGGCUAAAAAAUGGAAAGAAAUGCCCUUUACUUCAUGUUCUCAUACUGUUUCACUUAUGCAGAUCUUGUUUUAAGUUAAUUAGAAUUGUUAUUGUAACGUUUAGUGCCUCAACCUCCAUUCCUCCAUCCAUCAGCUGGACACAACCAUCCCCUCUUUGUUUAGGACAACUGGCUGUGGGAAACCGGCAGCCUUAUAGACUGGGAGGAUAUUACAAAUGUAGAAUCUAUGUACUCAAGGCAGCUCUGUACACCACCACCAGCAAGUAAUUGAUUCUUGAACUAUUUACAAGUUAUUUGAUGUUAAAUUCAACAUAAAACAAAGCAAAACUAUGUACUAAGAAAUUAAAUAAGAGAAGCAUAAUUAAGAAAGGAACCAAUUGUGAACCUUACAUAUAUUGAAACCUGUAGUAUGUAUUAGUGAGGUGCCUGGAAAACAUCCAGUCCCCCACUCAGUGCCAUGUUUAGGAUGAGGGGGACCUUUAUAAAUAAAAUACUCCUCGAUUUUUACCUCAAUAGUGAUGCAGAACAAAAGUAUUUUUUUUUUAAUUGCUUUUGAUAUUGAAGUCAUUUGCCAUACAAUUAUGUAGCUUUGUAUUUAUGAUUAGUCUAGUAAAAAGAAAGGCAGAGCAAAAACAGUGACAUUAUUAGCUAUUCAUUUACCCCAGUAGUGAAGGAGGAACAACCUUAAAAAAAAUAGACAAAGCAAGCUACCAUUUGUACAUAGAGAUCCUGUCCCUCCUCCCCCCACCCCCAAAUCAGGAGAGGGUCAGACUGCUGCAUAGACCCUAGUCAUAAUACAAAGCUAGAUAAUUUGUAUUGCAGAGUACACUGAAACUUAUAAUCUUUAAAUAAAAUCACAAACAAUU